GUGGGGAAUAUUGGACAAUGGGCGAAAGCCUGACGCAGCCAUGCCGCGUGAAUGAUGAAGGUCUUAGGAUUGUAAAAUUCUUUCACCGGGGACGAUAAUGACGGUACCCGGAGAAGAAGCUCCGGCUAACUUCGUGCCAGCAGCCGCGGUAAUACGAAGGGGGCUAGCGUUGCUCGGAAUUACUGGGCGUAAAGGGCGCGUAGGCGGACAGCUUAGUCAGAGGUGAAAGCCCAGGGCUCAACCUUGGAAUUGCCUUUGAUACUGGCUGUCUUGAGUUUGGGAGAGGUGAGUGGAACUCCGAGUGUAGAGGUGAAAUUCGUAGAUAUUCGGAAGAACACCAGUGGCGAAGGCGACUCACUGGCCCAAUACUGACGCUGAGGCGCGAAAGCGUGGGGAGCAAACAGGAUUAGAAACCCUUGUAGUCC
rnacentral:rRNA from 1 species